AAAAAAGUUUAAUGGCAAAAAAUGUAGUGUUUCUGCAACAAGAGAUACGUAAUUUUGUAACAUACUAAUUAAGGUCUGGAGCUGUGGUGACAGUAACGGCUAGUAGUUCUUUGUUAAUUUAUGUAUCAUUGUCACUUUUCUUUAGUUUUUUGUUGUUGCCUGUUCUGACAUCGGACUCUGACUUCUUUUAAACUUAGUUUUACUGUGCGUUUUGCUACAUGUGUUUUUUUUAAAUCUAAAUUGGUUAGAGGUAAAGGGGAGGGUUGAGAUCUAAAAAAAAAAUAUUUAAUCCCGUCGCAUUUUUGCUCCUGUCCCAACUCGCCUCUGGCCUUUGUUAGUCUUGUAUGUUUUUGAUUUUAGUUCUUUUAUAUGUUUUGGAGUUAAGUAUGACGUCUAUUUUCACUGAACUAGUACACAUUUUUAUUUAGGAGCCAGCUGAGAAUAAUUGGUGGCCUUUAGCUAUUUUCUGCUCUUUGGACGGGUUGUUGUCUCUUCGACCUAUUCCCCAUUUCCAUUCCCAAUUUUAUUAUGUUUAAAAAGUUAGUUGAAUCCUACAUUCUAUAAAUAACAGACAUGGAUAAAGAAUAUUAAAAAUAUAUUGGACAAGAUACCGGAUUUUCAAACUUAUUGUAUGUGCAAAAUACAGACCUCACCAAA
rnacentral:lncRNA from 1 species